UACGAAGGGGGCUAGCGUUGCUCGGAAUCACUGGGCGUAAAGGGUGCGUAGGCGGGUCUUUUAAGUCAGGGGUGAAAUCCUGGAGCUCAACUCCAGAACUGCCUUUGAUACUGGGGAUCUCGAGUCCGGGAGAGGUGAGUGGAACUGCGAGUGUAGAGGUGAAAUUCGUAGAUAUUCGCAAGAACACCAGUGGCGAAGGCGGCUCACUGGCCCGGUACUGACGCUGAGGAGCGAAAGCGUGGGGAGCAAACAGG
rnacentral:rRNA from 1 species